AGCAGCCAUUGCGGUAAUUCCAGCUCCAAUAGCGUAUAUUAAGGUUGCUGCGGUUAAAAAGCUCGUAGUUGAAUUUCGGAAUUGAUGCAUCGGUCGUGCCUUAAGGGGCAUGAACUGGUGUAGCCAAUUUCUCACCUUCUGGUGAAUUGUGAUGUUCUUAAUGGGUGUCUCAAUGAACUAGAAUUUUUUACUUUGAAAAAAUUAGAGUGUUUAAAGCAGGCAUUAAUUUGCUUGAAUACAUUAGCAUGGAAUAAUGAAAUAGGACAGUGGUUCCGUUUUGUUGGUUUCUAGGAUCACGUAAUGAUUAAUAGGGACAGUUGGGGGCAUUAGUAUUCAAUUGUCAGAGGUGAAAUUCUUGGAUUUAUUGAAGACUAACUAUUGCGAAAGCAUUUGCCAAGGAUGUUUUCAUUAAUCAAGAACGAAAGUUAGGGGAUCAAAGACGAUUAAGUACGUCGUAGUCCUAACCAUAAACUAUACCGACUAGGAAUCAGACGAUGUUAAUUUUUUAAUGACUCGUUUGGUACCUUACG
rnacentral:rRNA from 1 species